GUAAUUCCCCCCUCAAGGUUAAGCAACACACUUACCUUUUUGAAGUUAGGCCAAUAUUUCAAAAUAGCCCUCUUGCUUGAAUUGAUCUCCGGACAGCUCAAAUCUAUCCAAAUUAAUUGUAUAACUUCAUUAAAAUUCAUCGGAAACAAUUCCGGAUAAUAAUUCGUCGACUUAAAAUUUUAUUCCAAAAAGUCAACAAAAGUCAACGUGGGGCCUACCCUCGGAACUCGACAUAAUUUUCAUGAAAUACGAACACCCAUUCUAAUACGAGUUUAACCAUACUAAUUUUAUCGGAUUCCAAUAACAACUCGACCUCCAAAUCUUAAAUUUUCAUUUUUGGAAAGGUUUACAAAUAAUCUUGAUUUUCCUUCUUUAAAAUCCGAAUUAAAUGAUGGAUUCAAAGGUAUAAUCAUAGAAAUUAAUCAAAGCUGGAUAAGAAUCACUUACCCCAAACACCCACGCGAGAAUCUCUCUAAAAAUCGCCUUCUACCGAGCUCCCAAUUUGAUUUUGUGUUAUGAACUCAAACCCCUAUUUUAGAGACUUUUAAUUCUGCCUAGUUGACUACGCAUCGCGAUCGCGAAGAAGAGAAUUGAGGCUGCCACGAAAGACCCUUCGCGAUCGCGAGUAAAGGGACGAGAACACGAUGAACAAUAGGCAGGAGCUUACGCGAACGCAGGGCAAUUGAUGCGAACGCGAAGAAGAAAUAGCCAACGGCCCCCAGCUCCUAAUUUCUUCUACGCGAACGCGAAUAGAGAGUUGCGAACGUGAAGAAGGGAAAAGCAGAAGUACGCGAUCGAGGAAGUAAGCUCGCAAACGUGAAGGACAAAUAAUUCCCCUUCCAAAAUAACACUACGCGAAUGCGAAUUGGGGGACGCGAACGCGAACGCGAUGAAGGAAAUGUGUAGAGCUACGCGAUCGCGAGGCGUAUUAUGUGAAUGCGAAGAAGGAAAUUGAGGCAAUCAGCAGAGACACUUCGCGAACGCAGAAGGAUCUUUGCGAUCGCGAAGAAGGAUAUCAGACACCAGAACCAGCAGUUCAAAAAUAGAAGGAAAUGGUCCGUAGCCCAUCCGAAACACACCCGAGGCCCUUGGGACCCUGUCUAAACAUACCCACAAGUUCCAUAACCUAACACGGACUCACUCGAGGUCUCAAAUUACAUCAAAUAACAUCUAAAUCAUGAAUCGCACUCCAAUUCAAACUUAAUGAAUUUUAAAACUUUAACUUCUACAAUCGAUUGCGAAACCUAUCAAAUCACGUCCGAUUGCCCUCAAAUUUUGUACACAAGUCAUAAUUGACAUUACAGACCUACUCCAACUUCCAGAAUCGGAUUCUGACCUAGAUAUCAAAAAGUCCACUUCCGGUCCAAAUCUCCAAAAAUUUAACUUUUCCCAUUUCAAGCCUAAAUCAACUACGGACCUCAAAUUCACAGUCCGGACAUGCUCCUAAGUCCAAAAUCACCAAACGGAGCUAACGGAACCGACAUAAUCCAUUCCGGAGUCGUUUUCAUACAAUUACGACUACGGUUAAAAUUCUAAGACUUAAGCUUCCGUUUUAGGGACUAAGUAUCCCAAAUCACUCCGAAUCAUCCGUAAACCAAACUCGACCACACCCGCGGGUCAUAAUGCAUAUUUUGAGGCUGCUCGAGACCUUAAGCCACUGAACGGGACAUAAAUUCUUAAAAUGACAAGUCGGAUCGUUACACGAUCCAUCCUUAAAGCUUAGGGGAGAUGUUGGUGAGCUUCUACCGGAUCCAACAGUAUAUCACCGGUUAUUGAAAAAGCUUAAUUUUUUACCUAACACCUAGCCAGAUCUUUCAUUUGUCAUUCAACACCUCAGUCAAUACAUGCAGAGUCCUAACCGACCUUAUUUCGAUGCAACCAUUCAUUGUCUCCGAUAUCUACUUUCUACUCCUGAUAUAAGACUCUUCCUGAACUCGGAUCCUUCACUACAAUUAUUGGCAUUUUGUGACUCCGACUGGGCUUCUUGCCCCGAUUCGGGCCAAUCAGUUAGCGGGUUUUACAUUAGUCUCGGUAGUUCUCCUAUUUCUUGGAAGUCCAAGAAAUAAUCUUUGAUAUCUCUUUCCUCCGCCGAGGCCGAAUAUCGAUCUAUGAGGCGUGUAGUAGCAGAAUUACUUGGCUUGUUCGACUCCUUACAGAUCUAUCAAUUUCUCCGUCACUGCCCAUUUCCCUUUAUUCCAAUAGCCAAGCAGCAAUCCACAUAGCCAAAAAUCCCAUUUUUUACGAAAAGACUAAGCAUGUGGAUUUGGACUGCCAUUUUGUUCGACAACAGUUCUUGGCCGGCUUAAUUUCACUCACUUUUGUUCCUUCUAAAUCUCAGAUCGUUGAUGUCUUCACCAAGCCGCUCACUGGACCUCUUCAUCACUCCAUUCUUCCCAAGUUGGGUGUGCUUCCUUAGCCCUCCAACUUGGGGGAGGUAGGAGGGGUGUUGGCACCAAAAAUCUUAAAGAGACUCAUUUACAGAAGAUGGAAAGAUUAGGCUCAGAGAGAGAAGAGAAGAGUAUGCUAUCAGACCAAACAAAUGAAAUGAAGCAAAGACACAAAGACUAAAUCUUUAAGCCUCUCACGCGUAUGAAUGCACAAACCAAUCAGAAUCCUUUAUCACAAAAUAAGGAAUUUUAUCUGGCACCUACACGUGUUAAUUUGAGUACAGAUGAUUUUCAUAAUAGGAAGAAACCACAACUUUCUAGAACCAUAUUAGCUGGAUAAUAAUAUUAUAAAUAUAUUUUUCAUUUAUUAUUCUUUCAUUAGUUUGUUAGGCUUAAGUGAAUAAGAGAAGAACACGUGGAGAAAAUUAGUUAUAGAGAUUCUUCUCUUUGUUGUAUAUAACGGGACACUGUACAAAUACAAAAUUCAUUCAUUGAAAAGGAAUUUUUUUUUACAUCUCUUCACGGAGCCCCGAGAAACAGGAUGGUGUUGUAGUAAUAGUGAAGUGGUGGUGAUAGCAGCGCAAUAGAUGAACUCUAGUGCAAAACGCCAUGGGAUUAGAUUGUGAAAAUUGGUUUUGAGGGUUAUGUGUGUGUAAUUUUAUGUCAUAGAAGCUGAAGAAGCUCAGCUAUGGUGGGGAGAAGCGGAGCUUGGGGAAGAGAUGAAAUAAGGGUUAAAUUCGUUUAGGAUUUUUUAAGUGGGGCAAUUUGAGUCGGGUAAUGGGUAAUUUUUAAGUGAAUGGGGUAUUUAAAAUUUUUGGGGUGGGUCUUUUUGUUACAAAUCUGACACGUGUCAUUCCGUCCAAAGUAAGUGUAUUUUUGAACCAAAGUAUAAUAGUAGGAACACAAAUAUACUACUAGUAAAACGGAGGAUAAAUUUAAAUAAUUUUUGAUAGUAGAGUGAUAUAUUUGACCCUUUACCAGUUUGACUUCAACUUCUCAGAAAAUCCAUUUUUUCCGGCUUGAAUAUGGUUUGAGAAAGAUGAGAGAAUUUUGAGGGUUUUGGUGGCUUCUUCCAUUGUUGGAGAGCUUUGGUUGGGGAAAUGGGUGUUUUCGGUCUCCAUGUAAGCUGCUUACUUUCAAACUAGAUUCAAGCACCAAUAAUGGUCCGGUGUUGGUCUCCAUUUUCAGCUAGCAAAAGUUUUCCGGUGAGCUAAUGGAGGUUGGUCUGCAGUAAAAGUUCGCACGGGAGGUUGCAGGCAUUAGAGAGUGUGGUUUGCACUUCUUUAUUAAAUAGAAGUAUGGUUGGCCGAAGAAGGUGAAAUUUAUUACAUUUCAUACAAAUAUAAGGGGUCAUAUUUUGAAACUAACGUGUCUAUUUUCUGAUUUUAUGAUGAUGUUAUUAUUUUUAUGGUAUCUGUUAUUGGUACUGAUAUAUUGUCUUUUUUCGUGUUUUUUGUUUUCUUGAGCCGAUGGUCUUUCGGAAACAACCUCUCUCUCCAUCGAGAUAGAAGUAAGAUCUCCGUACAUACUACCCUCCCUAAACCUCUCACCUGCGAGAUUUUACUCAAUUGUUGUUUUAACCGAUAAAGUGGGACAAACCAAGGGGAUAAUUAUGUAUUAUCCAUAUAAUGUUUGGAGUAAAAUUUGGAUGAAUGCUUUAGCCCCUUGUUCCUCCGUGUUUAGACUACUCUAUUUUGGAUGGAGUCCAAUAAUGAAGUUGGGUUCCACUUGUUGAACCUUUUUUAUUAGGAACUUUUACCUACGUUAUAAACUUAUUUAUUGUUUUUAAAAAUGUUAGUAGUUAAUUAUGUAGUUUGUAUACAUAUUUAUUAUUUAUAUAUAAAAUAAUGUAUUAGACUCCAAUUUUUCUUAUUUUCUCUCUCCAUCUUCCCCAUUUUUUCUCUCCUCAUUAAAAGUAUAGUCGAAUUCCCAACUGUAUUUACGCAAAAUUCACUGUUAAAGCUUCAUCAUCUUCAAUCUCUAAUAGUUACCUAUUCAAAUAAGUAAUUUUACAUAAAAUUACGUUGAAACUCAAGCUAACAUCCACUUUGUUUGCUAGAGUUUUCAUAUCAUCUCCAAUGGCUUUAUUAGCUUGAUCUUUUACUCUAACCAUAAACUCUAUAACAAUUGUGAUAUUUAAGAUGGUAGGUUCAUUAUCUGUUCCAAACAAAUAACAAUUUCGUCAUUGGCAGCUACUAAAAGAUUCGAAGCUUUAAAUUUAAAAAUUAGGUAUAGCGAAAUUAUUAGUUGUUUGGAUUAGGAUUAAUAAUAUUUGGGAAUAUCUUUUGGAGUUUAAAUCUCAAUUUUAAGAAUAUUUGGUGAAUGUUUGAGUUGAUUUUAGUUUAAACUUCGUAUUGAAACUCGAAAAAAAAAG
rnacentral:lncRNA from 1 species